UACGUAGGGGGCGAGCGUUGUCCGGGGUACUGGGCGUAAAGCGCACGCAGGCGGUCUGCUAAGUUUGGAGUGACAGUUGGUGGCUUAACUGCCAAAGUGCUUCGAAAACUGACAGACUUGAGGGCUUCAGAGGGACACGGAAUUCCGGGUGGAGUGGUGAAAUGCGUAGAGAUCCGGAGGAACACCAAAGGCGAAGGCAGUGUCCUGGGGAGUACCUGACGCUCAGGUGCGAAAGCCAGGGGAGCGAACGGG
rnacentral:rRNA from 1 species